UACGUAGGGUGCAAGCGUUGUCCGGAAUUAUUGGGCGUAAAGAGCUCGUAGGUGGCGGGUCACGUCGGGUGUGAAAGCCCGGGGCUUAACCCCGGGUCUGCAUUCGAUACGGGUCUGCUGGGGUCCGGCAGGGGAGACUGGAAUUCCUGGUGUAGCGGUGAAAUGCGCAGAUAUCAGGAGGAACACCGGUGGCGAAGGCGGGUCUCUGGGCAGUAACUGACGCUGAGGAGCGAAAGCGUGGGGAGCGAACGGG
rnacentral:rRNA from 1 species